CUAACCUUGCACGCAGUCAGCGAUUAUUUCCAGUUUACCACUUCAUCAGACGUUAGCCUUCCUUUCCCACGUUUAUCUCAGAUCCAAACAAACCUAAAAAAAUUUGCAGAGAGAUCGAUGAAAAUGAAGCAUUGGACUUGGAGGAGCUUCAGCUUCCUCUUUCAACUGCAAGCCAUGGACUUGGAGGAGCUUCAGCUUCCACUUUCAACUGCAAAGGCCAUUGGGUUGAGCACAUGCUGAAUGUCAGAUUAUUAAAAUUUGUCAAUAUGAUGUGCAUGAGGUCAAGCAAAUGUGGAGUGCCAAUUCUUGGCACACAAAUUAUAGUUAUAUGUGUAAUAGGCAACUCUAGGGGAAAUACCUGUCAAACGCAGUUUUACUUAAACUGCAGAAAAUGCAUUCUUUAAUCAUGUGAUUUGUCACUUCCUUGUUCAUUUACUUAAACUUUUGUUACUCGGAACAUAUUUAUUAGUAGUUGCUCAAGUAAUUAGUUUUUGCGAAUC